rnacentral:rRNA from 1 species
UACGUAGGGUGCGAGCGUUAAUCGGAAUUACUGGGCGUAAAGCGUGCGCAGGCGGUUUUGUAAGUCAGAUGUGAAAUGCCUGAGCUCAACUUAGGAAUUGCCUUUGGGACUGCGAGGCUUUGAGGACUGGAGAGGUGAGUGGAAUUCCCAGUGUAGAGGUGAAAUUCGUAGAUAUUGGGAAGAACACCAGUGGCGAAGGCGGCUCACUGGCCAGUUUCUGACGCUGCAGCGCGAAAGCGUGGGGAUCAAACAGG